rfam:Triticum aestivum genome assembly, contig: Triticum_aestivum_CS42_TGACv1_scaffold_423310_5BS
UACGUACUCCCUCCGUCUGAAAAUACUUGUCAGAGAGAUGGAUGUAUCUAGACAUAGUAUAGUUCUAGAUACAUUCAUGUUUAUGCAUUUCUGCGACAAGUAAUUUCGGACGGAGGGAGUACGUA